UACGUAGGGGGCAAGCGUUGUCCGGAAUCAUUGGGCGUAAAGAGCGUGUAGGCGGUCCGAUAAGUCGGUUGUGAAAGUCCAGGGCUCAACCCUGGGAUGCCGACCGAUACUGUCGGACUAGAGUUCGGAAGAGGCGAGUGGAAUUCCCGGUGUAGCGGUGAAAUGCGCAGAUAUCGGGAGGAACACCUAUGGCGAAGGCAGCUCGCUGGGACGUUACUGACGCUGAGACGCGAAAGCGUGGGGGAGCAAACAGG
rnacentral:rRNA from 1 species